rnacentral:rRNA from 1 species
AACAACUCUAACAACGACGGAUAUCUUGGUCUGCACGAUGAAGUACGCAGCGAUGGAUAAGUAAUGGAUUGCAGAAUUCCGGAAUCAUCGA